UACGUAGGUGACAAGCGUUAUCCGGAUUUAUUGGGCGUAAAGCGCACGCAGGCGGCCAUUCAAGUCUGACGUGAAAUCUCUCGGCUUAACCGGGAGCGGUCGUUGGAAACUGAGUGGCUUGAGGCGAUGAGAGGGGUGUGGAAUUCCCGGUGUAGUGGUGGAAUGCGUAGAUAUCGGGGGGAACAUCGGUGGCGAAAGCGGCACCCUGGCAUUAGCCUGACGCUCAUGUGCGAAAGCGUGGGGAGCGAACGGG
rnacentral:rRNA from 1 species